rnacentral:rRNA from 1 species
GACGAACGCUGGCGGCGUGCUUAACACAUGCAAGUCGAACGGAAAGGCCCUGCUUUUGUGGGGUGCUCGAGUGGCGAACGGGUGAGUAACACGUGAGUAACCUGCCCUUGACUUUGGGAUAACUUCAGGAAACUGGGGCUAAUACCGGAUAGGAGCUCCUGCUGCAUGGUGGGGGUUGGAAAGUUUCGGCGGUUGGGGAUGGACUCGCGGCUUAUCAGCUUGUUGGUGGGGUAGUGGCUUACCAAGGCUUUGACGGGUAGCCGGCCUGAGUGGGUGACCGGCGACAUUGGGACUGAGAUACGGCCCAGACUCCUACGGGAGGCAGCAGUGGGGAAUAGUGCACAAUGGGCGGAAGCCUGAUGCAGCAACGCCGCGUGCGGGAUGACGGCCUUCGGGUUGUAAACCGCUUUCGCCUGUGACGAAGCGUGAGUGACGGUAAUGGGUAAAGAAGCACCGGCUAACUACGUG